rnacentral:lncRNA from 1 species
AGCCAACUACUACACAAACCAACCCUUCUCACACACACCAUUCUUUUUCUUCAUCAACCAUUGCUUCUUCUUUUUGCAACUUUAUUUCUUCUCUUCGGUUCAUGUGAUGUGCAACUGUGAUCCGUUCUAGUGUAUCAUGCAAAUUCACAUCUCAUUAUUGAUUAAUUCCACUUUAAGAAUUUAUAGUACAUAUGUUUUCAAAGAGGUUAUUAUUUAUUUAUAAUUAUAUCACUUUUUUUUUUUUUUGAAAUAUUUUUGCUCAUUUUUUGUUUCAACAUAUAUAAGAAAAUAGCAUAUAUGAUAUGAUAUGAUAUCUUCCACCAUUGGCAUUCUUUCUAUAUAUUUAAUUUAAUGUGUUAAAUAUAUAUAUAGUGAUCUAUACGUAAAUUAAAUAUAGCAUGAUAUAAAAAUCUCAAAGUCAUACCUUUUUUUUUUUUUUUUAAUUUGGUUGAGAAAUUAAUACCAAUUUUUUUGGAUCUGUUAAUGUAUAUAUUUAGAGAACAAGUAUUUAUAAUUAAGAUUGUAGUGUGAGGUGGAGUUAUUUUGAUACACUAGCACGGAUCACUAUUGUUGGUCACGUCAAAAAUAGUUGUGGUGUUUAUAGUCUUCAAUUCUUAGAAGAAGAUGUUGAUGGAUCAAUUGAGACCAUAAAAAUGCAGCUUUAAUUUACAGAAAAAGAAAAAGAAUUAGCAAGUACGAUGAGUUUGUGGACAGUAGUGGUCAAUAGUUAUAUAGGAUCGUACGAAAUGCAGAUUGGUUUAUUUUCGGUGGUGUAUUCUAUAUUUUUUGGGUAAAAAAACUAUUUCAAUUAAAUUUUGAGAAACACUUUGGUCCCAAAAAAAAGUUUAGGAAAGCUUCAUUUUAGUUGACAACUAGCUCCACAUAUUUUGACAUAUUGUUGUCGAAUUUGAGCAGCUUAGUAUAAGCCUUUUAUGAUAAGUUUGAUGCUAUGUGUAAAGUUUAAAUUUGGUAUUUAUUUUUUUUAUAAAUAAGCCUUUUUAUUAUAUUUGAU